rnacentral:misc_RNA from 1 species
UUUGUUCGGCCGUCGUUCUUCCUCGACGUAGACGCGUCGGCUGCAGUUCUCCGCUGAACUCGAGCUAUUCAGUGUACGCGUACGACUUGAAAAUACUCGUCAAACGUUUUCGGUAUUUUCAAGUCUUGAUUUUACUACUGCCAACAUUUACACUCAUUUGGAAAGUUUUCCUGCCACACCAUGGCAAACGACGAAGUAGUGGUUGACAUGCCUGCGUCAGAUAAUGGCGGGGACGCGGUUCAGCCACCCUAUCAAGACGGAACGAUGCCUGAUAACGAAAUCUGUAGAGUCGAUCUUCAAACGGACGGUGCUCCGGUUCUCGGGGUUUCUGACCCCGUCCAAAUGAACGGGAAAAUGGCAACGAACAACUUCGCUGAACUCGUUCAGCACACGAGGGACGCCUUUUUCAGCGGAAAAACCCGCCCCCUCGAAUUUCGUAUUAAACAAUUGAAAUUGUUGCACAAGAUGCUCGAAGAAAACACGGGAGAGAUAAACUCGGCACUGAGUGCAGAUCUGCGAAGGAGUAAAUUCGAGAACACCGUACUGGAGAUCGAUUAUUGUGUAAACGACAUAAAAAGCACGCUGAUGCACAUCAAGGAAUGGGCGGCUACAGAAAAGCCUCCCAAAGAUUUAGUAAACAUACUCGACUCCGUCGAAAUACACAAAGAUCCUUAUGGCGUCGUGCUAAUUAUUGGAGCCUGGAAUUAUCCUCUCCAAUUGUGCAUCGUGCCCAUGAUGAGCGCCAUGGCCGCCGGAAAUUGCGUUAUCCUCAAACCAUCCGAAGUUUCACAGUCAACAGCGGCCCUUCUCAGUCGACUUAUUCCCAAGUAUUUGGACAAUGAAUGUUAUCACGUGGUUUUGGGCGGCGUGCCCGAAACGACGGAACUGUUGAAGCAAAGAUUCGAUUACAUAUUUUACACGGGGUCAACGAACGUCGGUAGAAUCGUUCGGGAAGCUGCCAACAAAUAUUUAACACCUGUGACUUUGGAAUUGGGUGGGAAGAGCCCGGUGUACAUCGACAGCACGGCUGACAUAGAAGUGACUGCGAAACGCAUACUGUGGGGAAAAUUCAUAAAUGUUGGACAAACUUGCAUCGCGCCAGACUACGUUUUGUGUAACUCCGAAGUCCAAUCAAAAUUCGUUAAGCAUGCUGAAAAAUUAAUCAAAGAAUGGUACGGUGAGAAUCCGAAGGAAAGCAACGACCUCUGUCGCAUCGUGUCGACGAAUCAUUUCAAUCGCUUGGUCACAUUUUUGUCCGGAAAUGGCAAAGUUGCAAUUGGCGGUGACACGGAUGCGAGAGAAAAGUAUAUUUCGCCGACGAUUCUGGUCGACGUGAAGCCCUCCGAUCCCGUUAUGAAAGAGGAAAUAUUCGGCCCGAUUUUACCAAUCGUUAAUGUCAGUAGCGCUUACGAGGCGAUCAAUUUUAUCAACGAACGAGAGUGCCCCCUCACAAUGUACAUAUUUACCAAGGAUAAAGCAGUCCAACAAUUGAUUGUAAGUCAAACCCGAAGCGGUGCGGUCUGCGUCAACGAUACGCUGAUGCAGUAUGCUGGGAAAAACCUCUAGCGCUGUACUUAUUUGGCAAAGAUAUGGAAACUAUAAAACAGAUCACUGAGAACACAUCUAGUGGUGGAGUACUCGUCAAUGAUUCGAUGCUGCAUGCCUCAGUUGACGCGCUGCCCUUCGGAGGCGUUGGAUCCUCAGGAAUGGGAGCGUAUCACGGAAAGGAGAGUUACGAUACUUUCGUUCAUCGUAAGGGUUGUCUCGUCAAGGACUUCAAUCCGAUCGGCGAAAAAUUAGCGUC